UACAGAGGGGGCAAGCGUUGUUCGGAAUUACUGGGCGUAAAGGGCGCGUAGGCGGCCUGUUAAGUCGAACGUGAAAUCCCCGGGCUCAACCCGGGAACUGCGUCCGAUACUGGCAGGCUUGAAUCCGGGAGAGGGAUGCGGGAUUCCAGGUGUAGCGGUGAAAUGCGUAGAUAUCUGGAGGAACACCGGUGGCGAAGGCGGCAUCCUGGGCCGGCAUUGACGCUGAGGCGCGAAAGCCAGGGGAGCAAACGGG
rnacentral:rRNA from 1 species